AAUUACACACGUUUCCGUGAUUAAAACACUCAGGCUGAAAUGCUGUUUCUAAAUUAUUCUGUUACACAACAGAAGCACUUUCCUGUUGCAUCAGACCAAGGUUCUCCCUCCCCAGAAAGAGGGAUCCGUGGGUCCUGCAGGGGUACGUGUCCCAGGAGCUGCCUAGUUCCUCCAGGGGCACAGGGAAUGCACAGGGCAUGGCUGGGGCAUUGCAGAGGCUAGCAAGCAAAAACACCAGCUCUGCUUUCCCAGGCACCACAGAGCAGAUAAACAAGGAUGGGUCUUCUCUUACACGCCAAGAAAAGAAACCAUAGUUCCUUAGUGUCUGUCCAAGGACUUGCAAGAGAAGUCCUGAAUUUGUCCUUCCAGUAUGGGCAAUGAAUAGUUGGAAACUGAGACUUUUGCCGUGUGUUGUUGAAAUUUUGAUGGAGAACUUUCCUCCAUCAAAUAAAGUUGAUGUGAUUUGAAUAUCAGAGCAGCAUUGAGGUCCUGAGCUUAUUUUCUCCUCUAAAUGAAUUUUUUGCUGAUUCUCAGUCUGUACAUUUUAAAAAAUAAGUAAAGUCAGUUUGCUCCUGUUUUGAGUAUUUUCUAUUGAUAAGAUGCAAUAAAGAGCACCAGGUUUAUCCCCUGUUCAUAAACCCUUUUUCAGGGCUGAGUAGGGCCCUCACAUAUGAGAUUGUAGCAAUUUAGGAUUUUAUGAACAUUAUAUUACUUUUCAACAGAUUUACAAACUUAAAGCAAUAUGACUCCUGAUUCUAAAAUACAGCAACAGAAUUGCAACCAGAAUUAUGAAUAAGUUAAAACAUUACAUGUAAUGAAAGCAUAGCCUGGCAAGAAAUGAAAUUGGAAAGUUUGUUCCUCAUAAAUUUCCAUAUCACUAUGGAAAAUAUCUUAUCUCUCUCCUAUGUCCACUCAAUUUUAUCUCUCACUGUCUCUCUGUUUUCAUGAAAUCUAUAGUCAUUUACAUGUCUGUCAAUUUACUGCUUAGGGACUGAUUCAGUAUUAGGGAAUGGACAAACAUGCAAAAAUAUCAUGGUCACAUAAAAUCAAUUUCCUUGAGAAAGAAUAAAAAUAAGACUAAGAAGACCCCUUCACUACUUAGUAAGCCUUGGGAUAAUUUAAUUUAUGCAAAUGUAUACAAAGUGCCAUGGAGGAUAUAAAUUUUACUGAACAUUAAUUGGAAGUGAUCUAUGGUACCACACAGAGGUAUGAGUGAGCAGGCCAUUUCCAGUUUGCAUUUAUGUGUGUGAAAUGUGUGUGCACACAGCCCUGGCAGUGAUUACCAGUGCUGAAAGCAAUCACACGCUGCAGCUGACAAGUCAAAGAUCAAGUAGAAGUUUUUUUGUAAAAUGGGGAAAAUCCUGCUUUGAAUAACCAAUGACUUGACCUUUGUCAGCUGUUAGUCUAGUUGGUAGCAAUUAUCCAAAGGAGAUUAAAUUAUCAGUCUCAAGGCAAGGUACUUUGCAUUUUGAACAAGACCUGGGAUUAAACACAGAUACUUUCUGAAUGCCAAGGGAGUUUCCAGCAGGAUAACGAUUUCAGAGGAAAAGCACACUACUUGCUUUGAAGUAAGUGAUCAGGCCGUGCUCUGAAAGUCUGCAGGAUGUGACGUGGACUAUGAUAACUCAUCCAGGAGAAUGAGCAGUGACCUGCCACAGAGGAGGCACGUAUGAGGAGGACUCAGUAAAUACAGGAAUCUGAGCCUGGAGCCUCCCCCAUCUCUGGGCUCCAUGGCAAUUGCUGCCACCCCUCUGCUCCCCUGCAGUUGCUGUAGGUAAUACCAGGCACAAGCUCAAUGCAAGAUCAUCUUCCUGUCUCUGGGGACCUGGUAACCCAUGCUGUGAGGAACAAUUGAUGUGAAACAGCUUACAACACCUUGCUAUGAACUGGCUCUUGGUCAUCUCCAGCAGCAUUAACUUUCCAAGUGUUAUUAUUAUCACAGAAGCUAUUUCAGAAUUUUUUUUUUUUUAACUCACAACAUUUUUCGCUUGCUGGUCAUCUCUUUAUCUACUAUUUCCUAGUUAAACUUUAAUACAUUGUGCUGAUUUAGUGUAUUUCUUUAAUAUCAAAUUAGUAUUAAAAUUUCCCUUUUCAGCAGCAAUUUGCAGUUAAAUGCACUUUUGCUUUAUAUAUAGCCUUCUUCAGAACUGUUGGUGCUAAGUUAUAUACUGCUCCACUUAAAGGAAUUUUUAAUGUGAGAUUUAGUAAAAUUACUUCUUAGAUUUACCUUGAUUUACAACUGCUUUCAUACAAAUCUGUCCCAAAAGAGUGAACUUGAUUCCUAUGCUUUGUUCCUUCAUUUACGAUCUUCAUCCUUUUUCUUCUUUCCUUGUUUUUCAUUUCUCCCAUACUAUGGAGAAUUAAGUAACUUGGAUACUUAGUUAUUACUGACAGGACUGAAGUUUAAGUAGUGACUGACUUUCAGUAGUUCAAGAAGCAGAAUUAGGUACAGGUUUCAUCCUGAUGAACAAGCUUUUGCCAGGCGUUAAUGUCUGACACUGACAGCAGCUGAACAUUCUUAACAUAGGGGAAAAAUCAACCUCUGUAUGGCACUGAUGUGCAGGGCCUGGUUCAUUAAACUGCCACCUCAAGCUAAUGUCAUAAAGAGCAGAUGGGAGUUAGAUGUUGGUUUUGUUGCUCUCCCUAGAAACCUCCCUCAGGGAGAGUUCACUUACCUCAGUCUCUUGGAAAAAAAUGAACAGGUUGGAAAAUGGAGCUUUCUCUGACUGCAAUGGAGACAGCAAGGUGAUUGAGAUGAGCUGAGUGGGAAUAGGUGUCACACCCAAGCACAGAACCAGUGAAAAAAGGGAUUUUGUGUCCUUGCAGAGAUUCUGGCUGAAAGUUGUGUAGAGGCUGAUCUGCUGUCUCAAGUCAGACAUUCUCCUCUCUGUUUUCCCCUUCAGCCUUUCCUCAAAAAAGAAAAUGGAAGGAAAUAUCCUGGAGUUCAAAUAGUGGGGCAGCUACAUGUCAUGUACAUAAGACACAUUUUGUACAAAUACAGCCAUAAUUGUAUUUUUCUAGAGAAUAAAUAGAAGCUGUUUGUGGGUGUGUGUGUGAUAAGAACAUGCAAGGGCUGCAUUAUACAGGCAACUAACAGGCUGUAUCCUGAAAAGCUGAAACUCUUCUUUGGCAUUAAGAAUGUAACUUUGACCAGAUGUUGAUGGUAAUUGAGUUGAAAGAGCAUGAUGGAAAUUGCCCAGUGGGAAACAAUUUAGCUUUUAAAAUGUCAUAACUUAAACCUUGAUUUACUGUAUUACAAAGAAGUGGGCAUGACUUGUAUUUGAUACAUCCUAUUUUUUAUUAGUACUUUGCAAAGUGAACUUCUUAAGGUGCCUGUGGCAUGUGUGUGGGGUGUAUUCCAGCUCUGGGCUUCCUCAGUCCUAACUUUUGCUGCUCAUAGGAGCACAGGACAGUUUUAAAAAGGUUUGUCAGGGUCUUCCCAGUUGAGCCUAUGCUGUUACAUAGCAGUUUAACUCCUCCCAAUCAUUACUCAAAAGGUUUAAGUUAAAAAUUUUACUGGGGAAGCAAAUAUUGAAGAUUUUACAUAAAAGCUGCAUGCACAAAUUGAUUCUUGCUCACGCCUGUGUGUAUGUAAUACGUUACACUCAACCACAUGGAGCAGGGAACUAUUAUUAUGACCACACUUGUGAAAAUAUUUGAAUUUAGCUUACUUUAGGUAAACACUCUGGCCUUAACUCCACAGUGAAUGGUAACAUGUAUAGCACAGCAGUCCUGUUCUCAGGACAAAUGCCUGAAGGAGCUUUCAGUGUUUCCAUUCCAUCCCUCAAGCAGGGGGUCACAUCUUGGCCUUAAAAUUUUUCUCUAAAAUAUUAUCUCCAAAGAAAAUGAUAUGAAAACCUGCAUGUUUAAAGGGGUAACACCCUAGUAAUUCUGUGUAGGGGAGAGUUAGCACAUGCCUCCCACACUCACCCUUGGCUGAUUGGGUGGCUGGCGGCAGGGCAGGCCCAUGGGCCACCAAGAACAAAUCCAGUGCUUGAGACCUGUUCCAUAUGGGUAAGGUUGAAAAUUGCAGAAAGCUGAGAAGCUUUGGAAAUCUAGCCACGAGAAGCAUGUUAAAAAUCCAGUACUAAUGCAAACCACAUGUCUGGGACUUCAUUUAGCUAUUUAGAAAACAGGAAUACUGUCCACUAUUUGCCUGCAAUGUUGGAUUUAUUCCCUCACCUUCCCCAUUUUAUUAAUUUGCACUCCCAGGAUGUUUUCUGCUCUGUUAUGGCCUAAUGAUUUAGCACCCAUAAUUCCUGAAGCUUUUGCAUUGCUUGUGUUUGAAUCCCACCUUGAGAAGCCCACAGAUAAUAUUUCUGUACCUGACACUGAUUCACACGAAUCCACCUGACAACUGAGAAGUGAAAAGUGUCCAACUGACCCUUGCAUCUGACCCAGCCCUUCACGUCAAGGACCGAAGGCAACAGCAAGAUUAUUUUGGGACCAGGACAGGAUGUUAGCCUUAUGUGUCCUUCCCCAAGCACAAACCAACUUCAAAAGGGCUGUACUGAUGGAGAAGAACCUAUGGACAACCCUCUAGUGCAUGGCCCUUUGUGGCAACAGACAGGUACCAAAUACUUUCCUGGGUUCUGGGAAGCCAGGUCAGAGUCCCAUGCUUUGCUCACAUCUGGCACUUCACCACACCAUGGCUGAGCUCCUCUCCCUCCUUGGCAUAGCUGUGUUUAGCUGGAGACAUGGGCAUGAGAAGACUAAAUGGCUUAUGAGGAAUUAAAAAAAAAAAUCCAAAAGGAAAGUCACUAUUUAAGUAGAGAAGAUCGUAGAGAGAGAGAGAGAAAACAAUAUUAAAUAAUGAAUGUAUUUAUUAAUGAACUCAGACAGGCACCACUUGUGCAAAAGAAAUGUUAGCACACAGACUUUAUUUUCAUGUUCAUAGCAACUGAAAUUCUGGAAGCCUGAAUUUCAAACUACAAAUGAAGAAACCUGUUACAUGUAUUCUGAAGUAUUUCAAUGUCAUUGCAGAAUUAGUGCAGCAGUAGCAAUAACAAAGUAUUCAGUCACUACAGAAAGCAGAUCUUCUGAUAAUAAACAACGGCAUGGUGCUAAACACACUUCAGCAAACGCAGGGAUAAGCUUGGCAAGCUGCCUUACAAAGCUCUGGUUCUGCCAUGUGACAACGUUGCUCAGAGUAGAUGCAAAAAACAAAGGAGUCCCACAGUCACAUCCAUGUAACAAGUGACACACCUACCAAUAAGACUGAUCUUAAAAAGUUUUCAUGUUAAACUCGUCUGGAGGAAGCAGCUCAGCUGGUGGCCAGUAGCUCAAUCCCUUUGGAUCAAAGGACCAAAAAUGCAAUAGCUGGAGAGAUUUUGGAGCUAGUUAACUAGAAGGGGUGGGGGAAAAGCUAUGACAAAAGUGGCCAUUUCAGCGUUCCUUGAAUUACUGAAGCUAUCUAAACAAUAUAACAAAUCCUGUGCACAUGACAGUAGAAAAAUUACAGGAUGUUUGCCAACUCUCAACUAAAUGAGCUGGAAUGGUGUUUUAGGGAGAAACUGCUGGGUCAGAUAAAUGGCCCCAGCAUGUGUGGCCUGAAGGGAUAGAUGGAGACAACAUUAUAGAAAGCAUCAAAAAGCAGCUUGAGAUGACUUAUAAAACUUGUUGCUCAAAUAUCCACAUCCAUAUGGAAGCUUCACAAGCAAUCAGACAGUGCCACGUUUAGUAUCCAACACUGCAUGGGGACAAUUCCAGUGCACCUGCAGGGGAACCACAGUGACUCCAAUAAAGGCACAAUUAUGUAUUUUCUGAAUUUCUCUGAACAAAAUGGAGGGAAAACCUUGUUUAUUUUUCUUGUAAGGAAGCUACUAGGAAAACUAUAUCUUGAAACCAUACUUAUUUUCUUCCAAAACUCUCUGGCUAUUUCUUGGCUAGAUAGAUGAGUGUGUGCAAGACUAAGUUACAACACUGUUGUGUGUAUGAAUAGCAUUGAGUUGUAUUUUGUGGCACAAUUUAAUAGAAAAUAUAAGAAAUCUCUCUUCCCAGCAGCUCUGAGAGCUUGGAUCUGACUUUCUACUUAUCAUGUUUGUCAUGCCCCAGUGUAAUUUAAGCAUCCACGUCUAGGCUGCUAUGAGCUCUAUCGUCUAGUAAGGAUAAAAUAUUAAAUUGCUCUAGUUUUUACACUUCACAGCAAUCCCUGUAGUGCUGGAGGACCGUGCUAUGAAUAGCACUGAAUGCAGUCAACAGACAUUUCCGUGCUAGUCCAGGGAAGGCACAGACAAUUAAUUGUCCCCAGUUUGCCCUACUGUCCAUAAUUAUAGGUUUGAGUUUAUAAAUAACAAAGCAUGAUUUUAAGAACCAAAACAAACCCCUCAAUUACUACAGAGUUCCUGAGAUAAUUAAGUCUCCAAAUGUGGCUCUGUAGAAGGGAACCAAGGCUACACUGCAAAAGUCCAUAACAUGCAGAUGUGCGUAAGCACAGCAAAGUGACAGGAUGGAAAACGUCAUCAGGAAAAUAAACUCUCUCAUCAUUAUUUCACCGCUUUUUACCUAAAAAAACAAUGGCCUAUUGUCUCGAUUCACCCUAUUGUUCUGUCCCAUUUUUUGUUAUUGAAGGAACCAGCAGUCAGUCAGCGAGAGUUUCCUGAGGAGUAGCAGUUUGGAAAGUUCAAUGCAGCAUCCUGUGCCUAAGGCUUGUUUUGCUACAAGUUUUAGGAAAAACCAGGAAAGUAAAGUUACUGAGACAAAUUAAAGCACACGGUUUGUAAUUCAGCUUGUUUGAAUACCCCUUCAAAUGGAAAUACCCUCCACUUUUACAAGUGUGGUCAUUAAAACCUUCAAAA